rnacentral:lncRNA from 1 species
AUGUUCCAGCCCAUCAUUUUACUGAUUCUCAUCCUGGUGUUGUUCUCAUCUCUCUCCUAUGCCACCAUCUUUAAGCUCGUUUUCCUCUUUACUCUCUUUUUCGUUCUGUGAUGUGAGUUUCGCUUUAGUUUCUGUCGUCCCUUGAUUUGUUUUUUACUCUUUUUUUUUUUUUUUUUUUUGUUAAUUUGCCCACAUUGUAUCUGUUGCCAAAGUAACUUAAAGCACCGGCACUCGGAUGGAGUCUACAUUCAAACCUGAACAAAUCGGACAACUCACCUGAGGAGUGUUCCCAGGCCAUCAAUCUUUCCUCCCCUCAUUGGCAGCCCAACAGUGACCUCUGACCAGAAAAGUGAAACGGGAGAAAGGGGAAACGGUCAUUUUAAAAGGGCCUGAGGGUAUUGAGCGGCCUGCGUCAUGGCAGCCAUUGAUCUGGAGCUCGGGCUGGAGCACAGAGGCCGGAGGUGGGGGCAGGAGAGGCCGGAGAUGUUGGAUAACUUUGACUUGGAGAUGCAGGAGUGGGAGGAUCAGCUUCAGGACAUUCAGAGGAAAAUCGAAGAGCUCUACAAUGAAGUCCAGACCCGCAGAGGAGCUAAUGACAUCAACGACCACCAGAAAAACGGCGUCGCCUUAGAAUACGGGCCAGGCCGCCACGACAAAGGACUUUUUAUGACGGAAAACGGCAAAAACCACCCAGAAGACAUCAUCCUGACACACUGCGAAAGCGACAGCUGUAACUAUGGCUAUGGUUACCGUGGGAACCGUCAGAAUGGCCACUGUCACGCCGACGGGGUCUCAGAGAUCGGUGAUUUGCUGCAAGAUUAUUUAGGGAACGGGAAGCAGAUGAGUCGAAAGAACAACGGAGCUCGCCAUGUGCGCUUCAGUGACACAAUCAAGGUGAGCCAGGACGUCUCUGCGUGUCAGGGCAGGAGCAGACGUGGAAAUCAAAGGCUCGGACAAGAACCGUUCCUGGGAAACUUUGAGGAAAGUGAAAACAGGAAGAAUCGAGUGUCUCCCAUGAGAAGCUCCCCUUGCAGAGAGACUUUCCCCAACAAAGAGAGCUCAGGUGCCAAACCUCCUCUCGGGCAAAGGGACAGUCCCGUCGCACAAACACAGCUCCCUGUCGGCACGGCCGAGUCUCCGUCUCUGGACAGGAAGGCCUUCGGUCCGGGGGUUCUUGGAGACCGGAAGGGCGGCAGCCCCUCUGUUCUCAGGAAAUUUGGAGCCAUGCUCCAGGAGAAUGAGGGGAAAAUGCUUACCGAGGCAGGGGUGGUGACCCAUCAUGGACCAGCUCCAGAGGCAAAGUGCCCUACUUCUUGCUGUCAUCGCAGAGCUUUGGGAGCAGCUGGAGUUGCAGGCAGGACGCCCGUGCGUUUGCCUAACCCAAAAUGCCAAGCAGAUUCCAACACACUGACAGCAGAGAUAGCCCCCGGCCAACAAUCCGAUUUAGUAUUAAGCUGCGGUUGCCAACACUACAAGGAUCAGCGAGGAGGCUUUAGCGGUCUAGCAGGGUCUCCACUUGGUACCCCGCAGCCCCAGAGGCGACCACAGGUUCCAGGAAGCCCAAAGCUCAGACCCAGGGCUAAUAGUGGUGGAGGACCGGCUCAAGGAGAUAAAGCCUGGAAGCCUACAGUCCAACACCUCGAGUCCAAAGUGGACUAUAGAGUCUCAAGUUCCUCAAACGGGUCGCAAACGUUCCACAAGAUCCAAAAGUUGCCAGAUUGUAGCCAUUUGAGGGAUGAAGGGCUCAUUGAGCUGCUGGACAUGUUAGAGAUUCAACACAACUACAGCUCCAAUCCCAAAACCAGAUCCACGUGUCUUCAACAGGAGGAAAACCAGGACAUUUCAGUCAAACCCAAGAAGAGCUUCUCUCGUCCCGCACGUCCGGCCAACCAGCGGCCGCCAUCUCGAUGGGCAAGCCGCACCCACAACUCCUCCAGAAUCAGCACCCCGUCAGGUCCGAUCUACCGUUCUCCAAGUCCAUUGACUCGGCCACCUAGUCCCAUGGCCAGAACCCCGAGCCCCGCGCAGAAGCACCGGGCUCUUGUCUCCUACAAGCCACAGACUGAGACUGUCAUUAUGUGAUAUCCCACCUCGGCCCACCGACUGUACGAAGCAACGACACUUUGAGAGUUCUGCUGCAAAAGUUCAGCGUAGAUCCCGAUCAGAUGAAAACACACCAACAUUCUCCAGAGUUGCUCUAGCUUUAAACUUCCUCUGUGCCUGACUUUUACCACAACAUCAAAUUAUCGUUUUGUUCCCCGAACCAUGUUUUUUCUCUCUCUUUUUGUAUCAAAUCAAGUGGUUUCAUCUGUAAAGACUUCUGCAUGCAGCCCCGUUUCGAGGCUGCGCGCCUACGUGUUUGGUUGUUGUGGUGGUCGCCAUGUUGAAUCCGCUUCAGGGGGAAACUGAACCGAGAACAGGUCGACUGCACCAUUUUGUCAAAACAGUUGUGCUAUUAACAAAUGUCAAGUGAUUCUAAGUUGCCUUUAAUGAACCUUUUCUUGGUAAUAAAUAUAACUGUGAUUUAAUGUAAUUGUGUGUUUCUCUACAUUUCUUUGUCAGUUUUCCAAUUUUCCUCAUCCGUUAGCUAUUCUGAACAUCAAUUGGCAUAAACUUAUAUUGAUGAUCAGAAGAUUGUAGGUUCAGUUCGAGGGGCGAGACACUGAGCCCCACAUUGCUCUCGGUGGUUACAGGUCGUCGCCAGUGUUCAGCAGCAAAGAAACCAUCAGUGUGUGUCUAUGGGUGAACGGGACAGUGACUGUAAAGCGUUUCGGGUCUCCUAUGAAGGUAGAGAAGCGCUGGACAACAUUUACAUCCCCCAGUUUGGGAGUUUUGCUAAAGUGUUCAUUUGUUUUAAUUUAAAUUUAUUUAAUUUAAAAAUCCACUUUCCAUCUGGUC